GUUAUUUGGUUAUUGUAUGCACUAAGUCUAGGAGUUGGAUGAAACCUAUUCUUAUGUACGAUCAUGCCUUGAAUUAAGGACAUCUUUGCCACUUGUUCAAACCUUAGAAACUACCCAAGUCUAGAAUUGCUUACUUGCUUACCUGCUUGGUUUACCAACCUUAAGGCAAACACUUAAGUCAUACAUGUUGCUUAUGAAAGAUAGUUUGGAACAUGGAACCAGACAGAAGCUAGAGAUGUAGUUCUGUCUGCUAGAUUAAUCUGGUUAAGGACCGAUCCGUGUCUUAACCAUUGAUCAAGUGAUAACCUCUGAUCACUUACUGGGUAUGGGACCAGUAAAGCCCAGUAGGUUAGUAAAUUCUAUGAUCAGGAAUGCUUCGUACCCGCAUCUGACGUGCUGGAGAUUGGCAGGGGUGUAGCCUGAAACUCACAUGGAGAUCAGGCCAGACGUGGGAUCCCAUGUGGGGGUGCAUCCCUGGGUCCGGGUAGUUGUAUUCCUAAUCAUUGACUUUACUAAUCGAG
rnacentral:lncRNA from 1 species